rnacentral:rRNA from 1 species
AACGAACGCUGGCGGCAGGCUUAACACAUGCAAGUCGAACGCCCCGCAAGGGGAGUGGCAGACGGGUGAGUAACGCGUGGGAAUCUACCCAGUUCUACGGAACAACUGAGGGAAACUUCAGCUAAUACCGUAUGCGCCCUACGGGUGAAAGAUUUAUCGGAAUUGGAUGAGCCCGCGUUGGAUGAGCUAGUUGGUGAGGUAACGGCUCACCAAGGCGACGAUCCAUAGCUGGUCUGAGAGGAUGAUCAGCCACACUGGGACUGAGACACGGCCCAGACUCCUACGGGAGGCAGCAGUGGGGAAUAUUGGACAAUGGGCGCAAGCCUGAUCCAGCCAUGCCGCGUGAGUGAUGAAGGCCUUAGGGUUGUAAAGCUCUUUCAGUGGGGACGAUAAUGACGGUACCCACAGAAGAAGCCCCGGCUAACUUCGUGCCAGCAGCCGCCGUAA